UACGGAGGAUCCGAGCGUUAUCCGGAUUUAUUGGGUUUAAAGGGUGCGUAGGUGGAUUGGUAAGUCAGUGGUGAAAUUUUGCAGCUUAACUGUAACAGUGCCGUUGAUACUGGGGAGCUAGGAUUUGGUUGCUGUGGGUGGAAUGUGUGGUGUAGCGGUGAAAUGCUUAGAGAUCACACAGAAUAUCGAUUGCGAAGGCAGCUCACAAAGCCAAGAUUGACGCUGAGGCACGAAAGUGUGGGGAUCAAACAGGAUUAGA
rnacentral:rRNA from 1 species